rnacentral:rRNA from 1 species
AUUGAACGCUGGCGGCAGGCCUAACACAUGCAAGUCGAACGGUAACAGGAAACAGCUUGCUGUUUCGCUGACGAGUGGCGGACGGGUGAGUAAUGUCUGGGAAACUGCCUGAUGGAGGGGGAUAACUACUGGAAACGGUAGCUAAUACCGCAUAACGUCGCAAGACCAAAGAGGGGGACCUUCGGGCCUCUUGCCAUCGGAUGUGCCCAGAUGGGAUUAGCUAGUAGGUGGGGUAACGGCUCACCUAGGCGACGAUCCCUAGCUGGUCUGAGAGGAUGACCAGCCACACUGGAACUGAGACACGGUCCAGACUCCUACGGGAGGCAGCAGUGGGGAAUAUUGCACAAUGGGCGCAAGCCUGAUGCAGCCAUGCCGCGUGUAUGAAGAAGGCCGUCGGGUUGUAAAGUACGUUCAGCGGGGAUGAAGGGAGUAAAGUUAAUACCUUUGCUCAUUGACGUUACCCGCAGAAGAAGCACCGGCUAACUCCGUGC